rnacentral:sRNA from 1 species
AGACUUCCAAUCUAGAUAGGCGGUGUUC